GACAGGAUUCUGUAGUGACGCGCUGCCCUCACGUGACGGGGAGCAGCAGAGUGACGCAGCCUUCGGUGCAGUCGUCAUUUGCGUCUGGGUACCGGUUCCCUGCUGCCCUCGCACGACGGGCUGGCAUCAGGCCCGGGGAAAGCGGGGCAGGACAAUAGUUCGGUGUGGCACUGUUUGUGGCGAGGCGAGGGGAGAAAGAGAGGAGAAAACUGCCCCAAUCUGUGGAGGUCUUCCUGUAAGCCUACAGUAAGACCUUCCUGCUGGAAGCAAGGGAAAGAAGGGGAGACUGGCCUGGAACCCUGGAGAUCUGCCUGUAGGUCUCCUGUAGGGCUUGAUGAUAACACUGGAAGCAAAUAAGCAGGGAGGAAAAUGCUCCUGAUUAGUAUAGACUGGUAAGAGGCUGAAUACUGCCUGGGGAAACCUGUAGGGUGGGUUUGUGGAGAACAGCAUGCAUCC
rnacentral:lncRNA from 1 species